rnacentral:rRNA from 1 species
UACGUAGGGUGCGAGCGUUGUCCGGAAUUAUUGGGCGUAAAGAGCUCGUAGGCGGCUUGUCGCGUCGGAUGUGAAAGCCCGGGGCUUAACUCCGGGUCUGCAUUCGAUACGGGCAGGCUAGAGUUCGGUAGGGGAGAUCGGAAUUCCUGGUGUAGCGGUGAAAUGCGCAGAUAUCAGGAGGAACACCGGUGGCGAAGGCGGCCUGCUGGGCUAUGGCUGACACUGAGGCGCGACAGCGUGGGGAGCAAACAGG